GUCUACAUGUCCUCCUGAAGAGAGCGAGUGGGCGAGAGAGAUAAGCAGUGAUAGGCUGAGAAUGCGGGCGGCGUUUGCCUGGUGAAGUUAGAUAGGUGAUAGCAUGAGGAAGAGCAGAGGGAGUAAGGGGGAGAGCAAAGGAGGAGAGGAAAGGAGGAGAUAAAGGAGAAGAGGGUGUGCAGGUAGGGAGUGUAGGUCGUGGUUAGUACUCUCUUUUGACUUGCUAAACACGAACGAAAACACGAGGCCACCACGAGGCCUGUGAUGGUGUGAUCACUGUGGUUCAGAAUGGCUGGAACAGGCAGAUGACAUGAGAAGAAAGAAAGAACAACAGAAAGAAAUAAAGAAAGGUUAGCACCUUGAGGUGUUUAAGGUGUAAGCGGGCAGGAUGUUGUAGUACCCUUAGCUCCAUCCAGCUCCAGACUCCAGUCCAUUGUGCCUUCAGCCCAGACGCUUCCAGCUUACUGUUCAUCCAGCACGACUUCCUGUCGGAUUAACCGGGAAGCACCGCCUCUCUUUCAGGAAGUUAUUCCCAUGAAGCCUCGCUUCUUCCAGACAUUCACCCUAACCAACACCACACCAAACCACAAGCUGAUGCAUCCCUCCUCUUACAUCUAAUAGUAACCCUCGCCGUCAAUCAGGCAGACUUUCUGGACUGCCUCUCUUGAAUCUCUUGAAGGUUCAGCUCUAGAACUCUAUGUAGAGCUCAACGCGGCGUCUAUUAUACCAUGGUCCUUGGACGUUUGUAAUACAGGCGGCGGCCAUUGCACUCCUGAGUUCCUUCUCCAGAUAUCUUCCUUGAUAAUUAAGGGAGUUUAUACUUGCCCUCUGGGAGGCAGGGGUAAGGAGGUGUCAUAUCUAUAUGGCCCGUUAAACCCUUGGAGAAUAACUGGGAUUAAGGGAUAAACAAUUAAAUUGGAUGGACUUGACUCAAUGCAUUGGUUUGUGAUGAGCGAUAAUCCCGGUGUUGAGAGAUCUGAAGACCCCCGCGGGAUCUCUGGAAGAUAUGAUGCAGAGAGAGAGAGAGAGAC
ensembl:lncRNA